AGAGUUUGAUCCUGGCUCAGGAUGAACGCUGGCGGCAUGCCUAAUACAUGCAAGUCGAACGAGGGUCCUUCGGGACUCGAGUGGCGAACGGGUGAGUAACACGUAGGGAACCUGCCCGUGCGACCGGGAGAACUUUCGGAAACGGAAGCUGAUACCGGAUAGGGACAGAGACGGCAUCGACUCUGUGUUAAAGGAGCUGAAAGGCUCCGCGCACGGAUGGACCUGCGGUGCAUUAGCUGGUUGGUGAGGUAACGGCCCACCAAGGCGACGAUGCAUAGCCGGCCUGAGAGGGCGGACGGCCACACUGGGACUGAGACACGGCCCAGACUCCUACGGGAGGCAGCAGUAGGGAAUUUUCGUCAAUGGGCGCAAGCCUGAACGAGCAAUGCCGCGUGAACGAGGAAGGUCUUCGGAUCGUAAAGUUCUGUUGAAGGGGAAAAAGAGCGGAGAGAGGAAAUGGUCUCCGAUUGAUAUUACCCUUCGAGGAAGUCACGGCUAACUACGUGCCAGCAGCCGCGGUAAUACGUAGGUGGCGAGCGUUAUCCGGAAUGAUUGGGCGUAAAGGGUGCGUAGGCGGCCUGCUAAGUCUGGAGUGAAAGGUACCGGCUCAACCGGUAUAGGCUCUGGAAACUGGCGGGCUAGAGAGCAGGAGAGGGCGGUGGAACUCCAUGUGUAGCGGUAAAAUGCGUAGAUAUAUGGAAGAACACCAGUGGCGAAGGCGGCCGCCUGGCCUGUUACUGACGCUGAGGCACGAAAGCGUGGGGAGCAAAUAGGAUUAGAUACCCUAGUAGUCCACGCCGUAAACGAUGAGGACCAAGUGUUGGGGAAGACCCAGUGCUGCAGUUAACGCAGUGAGUCCUCCGCCUGGGGAGUAUGCACGCAAGUGUGAAACUCAAAGGAAUUGACGGGGGCCCGCACAAGCGGUGGAGUAUGUGGUUUAAUUCGAAGCAACGCGAAGAACCUUACCAGGCCUUGACAUAGGGUGCGAAGCUAUGGAGACAUAGUGGAGGUAAACAUCCAUACAGGUGGUGCAUGGUUGUCGUCAGCUCGUGUCGUGAGAUGUUCAGUUAAGUCUGGCAGCGAGCGCAACCCUCGUGAUGUGUUACCAAUAUCGAGUUAGGGACUCACAUCAGACUGCCGGUGAGAAACCGGAGGAAGGCGGGGAUGACGUCAAAUCAUCAUGCCCCUUAUGGCCUGGGCUACACACGUACUACAAUGGCGGCGACAGAGGGCAGCGAGCCUGCGAAGGCAAGCGAAUCCCAAAAAAGCCGUCCCAGUUCGGAUUGGAGUCUGCAACCCGACUCCAUGAAGUUGGAAUCGCUAGUAAUCGCGGAUCAGCUUGCCGCGGUGAAUACGUUCUCGGGCCUUGUACUCACCGCCC
rnacentral:rRNA from 1 species